GUGGAUUAGAUACCCUAGUAGUCCACGCCCUAAACGAUGUCAACUAGUUGUCGGAUCUAAUUAAGGAUUUGGUAACGUAGCUAACGCGUGAAGUUGACCGCCUGGGGAGUACGGUCGCAAGAUUAAAACUCAAAGGAAUUGACGGGGACCCGCACAAGCGGUGGAUUAUGUGGAUUAAUUCGAUGCAACGCGAAAAACCUUACCUACCCUUGACAUGCUUGGAAUCUCGUGGAGACAUGAGAGUGCCCGAAAGGGAGCCAAGACACAGGUGCUGCACGGCCGUCGCCAACG
rnacentral:rRNA from 1 species